ACAUACGACCAUACCCACUAGAAAAUACGGGAUCCCGUCCGCUCUCCCCUAGUCAAACUGGUGAGGGGCGAACUAGUACUCGGGUCGGUGACGACCGGGGAAUCCUCACUGUUGUAUGUA
rnacentral:rRNA from 1 species